UACGUAGGGUGCAAGCGUUAUCCGGAAUUAUUGGGCGUAAAGAGCUCGUAGGCGGUUUGUCGCGUCUGCUGUGAAAACCCGAGGCUCAACCUCGGGCCUGCAGUGGGUACGGGCAGACUAGAGUGCGGUAGGGGAGAGUGGAAUUCCUGGUGUAGCGGUGGAAUGCGCAGAUAUCAGGAGGAACACCGAUGGCGAAGGCAGAUCUCUGGGCCGUAACUGACGCUGAGGAGCGAAAGCGUGGGGAGCGAACAGG
rnacentral:rRNA from 1 species